ACAAAUUACAUGUCCAUCUUUAGUGUUGUUUAAGAGAUUUGUAUUCCUCCCCCAAAGCUGCAGGAAUGAGUAUCGAUGAAAAAUUAGUGAAAAGGUAAUGUUUUACUUGUGAUGGUCAUUAAUCAUGAGGGGACAAAUCCUUUCAAGACAUGUCCUGUCAAAGAAGGUAAAAGUCAAUAUGUAACCAAUAUAACUGCAGCCAAAAAUAAGUUUAUCUUUCCAGGCAUUCAGGUCCAUUCUUCCUUCCCCCUCCAGUUGAUUAUUAACCCCUUCCUCUGAUUUAUGAGUGAAAUCUCAUAUCAUGCUCGAUUCACUUAAUUGACAGAGAACAAUUUUCCCUUGAAAUCAGUCAGUUGGAGAAGUACAUGCACUGUGUGAUUUGAGACCAGCUGGGUGUAAGGAUAGGAAGAGAUGUUUGAGGACCUGAGGCACUAAUGGAGAAAAUAUACAUCUAGGGCGUUCAGCCCUUGCAGUCUCUCGACAGGAAGGUCAAAGAUGAUGAGGAUGGACGGCAUUUCUAUUAUUUCGUCCAGUAUCCAUGGUGGUAGGAGGACUGGCACUGCACUUUACACUGCAGAGAAGUCUCAAUCACUUUGCCCUCUCGAGGUAUCUGCUCAAUGUGACAUUGGGAAUUGGAGCUUUGUAUUAACAUUUUUGAAAUGUUUUUUCCCCAACACUGACAUAUCAAAAUUAAUAAUAGUUCACAUGUUUAAAGAGCAAGACCAGCAUGGUUUUUUUAAAGACAUGAUUAACAACUAGCUCUUAUUUGUCACAUCUACAUUAAAAUAUACAGAGAAAUGCAUUUUUUGUGACAACGACCAACCCAGUCCAUGGAUGAGCUGGGGGCAAACUGUAAGGACCAUAAGGGUUCAGGCACUAACAUAGAAUGCCCGCAAAUGAUCACAACCUCGAUUUAGCUUGCAUAGCAGGUAAAGUGUUGCUUAACUCUCCAAGCAAAACAGAAUGUGAGCUUAAGGCGAGGGAGGUAUGCAGUCUUGGUCAAUUCAGUCCUGAUUGGCACUUCUGUUCCGCAUUACUGAUACUGACCUUCUUGCCCCCUAACUCCCAAGCCACUCAAUAAGUGUAACAUUUAGAUUGAUGUUUUUCCCAGUUAUAAAGAGCAGCGUCUUAAAUGUUAAUAAUAUCGUGUUUCUCUUAUCGUCAAAAGCACAGGAACUUUAAUGAUUCUGUACAAAACAUUAAAUCCAGCAAAAGCAGUCAUUUUCUGCACUCAUUACUACCUCACCAUAUCUUUCAGCACUUUCAGUCUGUAAAAAUGCACUAAUUAUCUCUUAGAGACUUUCCAUAUUAUUGAUUCCAUCGCCCUUUGAGAGAUAGAUUUAUUUGACUUAAUUUCUUGCAAACUUUGGACUUAGGUCUCAUAGCAGUGAACAAUUCUUGCUUUACUCAGUUUAGCAAAGAUUGAAUUGAUUCAGAUUAUGUCAGAUGGCAUGAUUUAGCACCAGACUGAUUGGUGGAGAAUUGUUUAUGUUUCGUUGAUCUCUGGAGCCUGUUAUGACCAACAGAUAUUAUAGACUGACACUCACAACUAGCGACUUGGGUUAUAAAAGUACAAGAGCAACUUUGUGCAUGUCUGCCUAAUACCCUUAUCACAAAAUUAGAUUCCCAGUGGGAGAACGUUUAAGGAAGUGUUAUGCAAAACACUGUUAUAAUGUCUAUAAAUGUUUUUUUCUUAAGCUCUGCUCCCACAUGGCAUUUGAUAAUCCAGCCAAAACACUUCUGAGAUGUUAUACCUCUGGAAGAAACAAGAAACAGUUUUAAAGUGCCCUGUGAAAGGAACAAUUUUUUUCUCUGCAAAGCAAUUUUAUUUAGUCAAGUUUCUGUUCAAACUCACUUGCAAAUCUGCUGGGUCAGAGCAGCAAGCAUCAUUUUACUUUUUAUAAUUAAUUUUUGGUCUGUGUCAGAAAGGUUGCAGUAUGGUUUCAGAAAUAAAUCUGGGAUAGGCUUAUCAUAAAACUUUGUAUUUAACCAAUACAUCACCAUUAAACCAUUAAAAAUAACAGUUAAAAUGAAAAAACGUAACCAUUUGCUGAAAGAUUUGGUGUAUUAUAGGCAGUUCCUCUGUAAAAAAUGUAUACCUACUCUUUUAGUUUUUAACUAUUAAUAGCAUUAUAAGAAAAUGAAAAAGACAAAUUUUAAGAGCUAAAGAUCUUGAAGUUUUUCAAGCAAGUAUGUUUUACAGAAAAUUAACAAUGUGAUUUCUAUAACUUUGGGAAAAUGUUGUGAGAUCUUGGGAGUACAGAUUGAUAGUUCACUGAAAGUGGCACCACAAAGUAGCCAGGGAGGUUAGGAAGAUAUGUGGUAUGUUUUCCUUCAGUGAUGGGGAAGUCAUUCAGCAGCUGUGUAGAUAGUCAGAAUCUUUAUCUUAGGGUAGAAAUUUCAGAUGCUAGAGAUGAUACAUUUACGAUGAGAGAGGAAUAGGUUGAGGGAGAUGUGUGGGUUGUUUUUUUUACACAGCAAGUGGUAGGUGCUUGGAACAUGCCACCAGUGGAAGAGGUGCAGGCAGACACUUAGCAAUGUUUAAGAGACAUUUAGACUGGUGCAUGAGCCGGCAGGAAAUUGAGGGACACUGACUAAAUGCAGGCAGAUAUGCAAGUUUAAAUUGGCAUUGUGUUUGGGACAGAGUCCAUGAGCUAAUCAGCCUGUUUCUGUACACUGCUGUUCUAAAUUCUUUAAUUCCAGGAUACAAGUCGCAGCAGGAGGAGGCCAUUUACCCCUUAGUACUGUGCUCUCACAAUGAGAUCAUGAGCAACAACCUGGCACUCAACGUCAGUGAGAUCAAAGAGUUGAUUGUGGACUUCAGGAAGGGUAACAUGAAGGAAGACAUACCGAUCCUCAUAGAGGGAUCAGAUGUGGAGAGAGUGAGCAGCUUCAAGUUCCUGAGUGUCAAGAGCUCUGAGGAUUUCAUCUAGUCCCAACAUAUCAAUGCAGCAAUAAAGAAGGCAAGAUGGCGACUAUACUUUUUUAGGAAUUUGAUGAGAUUUGGUGUGUCAACAAAAACACUCAAAAACUUUUAUAGAUGUACCAUGGAGAGCAUUCUGUCAAGCUGCAUCAUUGUCUGGUAUGCAGGGGCUAUUGCACAGGAUCGAAGGAAACUGUAUAUGGUUGUAAAGUUAGUUGGCUCCAUCUUGGGUACGAGCCUACAAAGUACCAAGGACAUCUUCAAGGAGCGGUGUCUCAGAAAGGCAGUGUACGUUAUUAAGAACUCCCAGCACCCAAGGCAGGCACUUUUCUCAUUGUUACCAUCAGGUAGGAGGUACAGAAGCCUGAAGACACACACUCAGCGACUCAGGAACAGCAUCUUCCGCUCUGCCAUUCAAAUCUGAAAAUGGGCAUUGAACUACCUCACUUUUUAAAACAUUUUAUUUCUGUUUUUGAAUGAUUUUUAAUCUAUUCAAUAUACAUAUAGUGUAAGUUAUUUAUUUAUCUACUAUAUUAUGUAUUGCAUUUAUUGCUGCUGCUAAGUUAACAUAUUUCUCGACACCUGCUGGUGAUAAUAAACCUGUUUCUGAUUCACCUACAUCAAACCCACCUUUUCUUCUACAAGAACCUACGAAAAUAGGAGCAGGAACUUGCCACUGGGCCCUUCCCACCUGCCCGCCAUUCAGUGUGUUCUGUGCUGGACUCAAAUUCUCUUUAGUGCCUAUAUUCCAUCAACCUCAUUCCUUAAUCUUUCAUAUAGUUUUCUGUUUCCACCUUCAAUGUAUCUAUAGUCUUUCCUCCACCAUUUGCAGCAUAAGAGAAUUCCAGAGUUUCACUUUCCACUGAGAAGAAAUUUCUGCUCACCUGAAGUUUUAAGUGACCAAACCUUUGUUUUGUAAAUUUGUCCCUUUUCUCGUGGAUCUCCUAGUAGUGGGAACAUCUCAAUAUCUACUCUGUCCAGCUCCCUUAAGAUCUUACAGUUUUGAAUCAGGUCACGUAUAUGUCUAAACUCUUCUAAGUUCCACAUUUAUAUUUCCAAUCCCCACAUACUUUGAUCUAAAAAUGUAUUGAUGCCAGCUGUAGCUACUACACUAUUUUCUGCCCUCUAUUCUCUUUCUUAAUUGCCUACUAUCACACAGGUCCACAGCAGAUGCUGUUUCAUUGGUUCUUCCCUCAACCUGUAACAUCUAGACAAUAAAGAUGCAUACCUCAGGAUGUUGUAUAUUGACUACAGUUUGACAUUCAAUACUAUCAUGCCUUCAAAUCCAAUCAAUAAACCUUAAGACCUUUGUCUCAAUACCUUCUUGUGCAGUGGGUCUUUGAUUUCAUCACUUGUUGACCACAAUCGGUUCAGAUUGGCAAAAAUAUCUCCUCACAACCUCCAACAGCACAAGUGCAUCACAUCCUUGUAAGCUUAGCUCCCAGUUCUACUUGCUUUAUACUUAUGAAUGUGAGGCUAAGCACAGCUCAAACGCCAUAUUCAAGUUUGUUGAGGACACCACUGCCGUAGACCUAAUCAAAAGUGAUGAUGAAUCAGUAUAUAGGAGGGAGAUUGAAGAUGUGGCUGAGUGGUGCCAAAGCAACAACCUCCUGCUCAAUGUCAGCAAGACCAAGGAGAUGAUUAUUGACUUCAGGAGGAUGAAACCAGAGGCCAGUUCGCAUCGGAGGACCGAAGAAGGAGAAAGUCAGCAUUUUUAAAUACCUCGGUGUUUUCAUUUUAGAGGAUCUGUCCUAGGCCCUUCGGUGUAGGUGCCAUUAUGAAGAAAGCAUAGCAGUGCCUCUACUUCCCUAGAAGUUUGUGAAGAAUUGGCCUGACAUCUAAAACUCUCACCAACUUCUAUAGGUGUGUGGUGGAGAGUGUAUUGACUGGUAGCAACAUGGGCUGGUAUGAAAAUACUGAUGCCUUUGAAUGGAAAAUUCUACAAAAAGUACUGGAUAUGGCCCAGCCCAUCACAGGUAAAGACCUCCCCAGCGCUGAGUGUAUCCUCAUGCAGAGCUGUGCAGGAAAUGCAGCAUACAUCAUCGAGGGCCCCACCACCAGGUCAUGCUCUCUUCUCACUGCUGUCGUCGGGAAGAAGCUACAGGAACCCCAGGACCUACAUCACCAUGUUCAGAAAUAGUUAUUACAUCUUAACCACCAUGCUCAGAGAGGUUAACUUCACUCAACUUCACCUGCCCCAUCGUUGAACUAUUUCCACGACCUAUAUACACACUUUAAAGGACUCUUCACCUCAUGUUGUCGAUACUUAUUGCUUUUUUUUUGUAAUUAGACAAUUUGUUGUCUUUUGCAUAUUGGUUGUUUGUCCUUCUUGUUGGAUGUGGUCUUUCAUUAAUUCUAUUGUGUUUCACUGUAUGCCAGUAAGGAAAUUAAUCUCAGGGUUGUAAAUAGUGACAUAUUUGUACUUUGAUAAUAAAUUUACUUUAAACAUU